AACCGGAGGGAAACUCAAUGCACAGACCCUGAUUUGCAACUUGUAAUGUAAAUCAACUCAACUGCAUCAUGUACUUACCAGCCACCUUCUCCCAACUGUGGCCGGGGCCGAGAAGCAGCAUGUUCUGUCCAUCUGUAAAAGGCCUUCUUUCUCUCUUAAGACGUCACAACUGGUUGUUACUGAGAACUUUAGAAAAACGACUAGAUCGUUUGGCUCUUUCUGGGCCUUCCACCUACACUCCAUGCCCUCUCUCCUCCCAAGAAAACACGAAUUAAAAUACAGGGAGUAUCAACCGCAUCCUGCCAACACCUCAUAAGACUCCAAGGCUUUACCGAGAUCUUCCACCUUCCCCGGGAUAAAUGAAGACAAGUGCUUCCUAGAAUCUUUAUGGUGAUGGAAAAGUGGAGAUUUAAAUGACCACAUCCACCCUAAGAUUUAUUGUGAGAAUGAUUGAUGUUAUAAACCAGGAAAAGGACUCUUCCCACAGCAGGGAUGACAGAAAUAUCAAGUUGAAGUUGCCUUUGUCUUCACAUACGAAUGACCCAGUACUACAACACAGAAAG
rnacentral:lncRNA from 1 species